AAACUUUCAACAACGGAUCUCUUGGUUCUCGCAUCGAUGAAGAACGCAGCGAAAUGCGAUAAGUAAUAUGAAUUGCAGAUUUUCGUGAAUCAUCGAAUCUUUGAACGCACAUUGCGCCCUGUGGUAUUCCGCAGGGCAUGCCUGUUUGAGCGUCAUUUCU
rnacentral:rRNA from 1 species